UACGUAGGGUGCGAGCGUUAAUCGGAAUUACUGGGCGUAAAGCGUGCGCAGGCGGUGAGCUGUGUCCGAUGUGAAAGCCCCGGGCUUAACCUGGGAAUGGCAUUGGAAACUGGCUCGCUGGAGUGUGGCAGAGGGGGGUGGAAUUCCGCGUGUAGCAGUGAAAUGCGUAGAGAUGCGGAGGAACACCGAUGGCGAAGGCAGCCUUCUGGGCCAACACUGACGCUCAUGCACGAAAGCGUGGGGAGCAACAGG
rnacentral:rRNA from 1 species